rnacentral:rRNA from 1 species
UAAGGAAUAUUGGACAAUGGGCGGAAGCCUGAUCCAGCCAUGCCGCGUGAAGGAAGAAGGCGCUCAGCGUUGUAAACUUCUUUUAAAUGGGAACAAUAACCUCGACGCGUUCGGGGCUUGAGGGUACCAUUAGAAUAAGCACCGGCUAACUCCGUGCCAGCAGCCGCGGUAAUACGGAGGGUGCAAGCGUUAUCCGGAAUCACUGGGUUUAAAGGGUGCGUAGGCGGUUUGAUAAGUCAGUUGUGAAAUACCCCGGCUUAACCGGCGGUCGUGCGAUUGAUACUGUUGGACUUGAAUCAGGUUGAGGUAGGCGGAAUGUGGCAUGUAGCGGUGAAAUGCAUAGAUAUGCCAUAGAACACCGAUUGCGAAGGCAGCUUGCUGGACCUAGAUUGACGCUGAGGCACGAAAGCGUGGGGAGCAAACAGG